AAUGAACGCUGGCGGCAGGCCUAACACAUGCAAGUCGAACGAGUGGCGGACGGGUGAGUGAGUUCUGGGAAACUGCCUGAUGGAGGGAUCUGACUACGGGAAACGGUAGCUACUGCCGCAAACCAUCAGAUGUGCCCAGGUGGGAUUAGCUUGUGGGGGGGGUAACGGCUCACCAAGGCGACGAUCCCUAGCUGGGCUGAGAGGAUGACCAGCCACACUGGAACUGAGACACGGGCCAGACUCCUACGGUAGGCAGCAGUGGGGAAUAUUGCACAAUGGGCGCAAGCCUGAUGCAGCCAUGCCGCGUGUAUGAAGAAGGCCUUCGGGUUGUAAAGUACUUUCAGCGGGGAGGCGUUACCCGCAGAGGAAGCACCGGCUAACUCCGUGCCAGCAGCCGCGGUAAUUC
rnacentral:rRNA from 1 species